rnacentral:rRNA from 1 species
CCACGAGACCGAUAGCGAACNAGURCCGUGAGGGAAAGUUGAAAAGAACUUUGAAGAGAGAGUUCAAGAGUACGUGAAACCGUUCAGGGGUAAACCUAAGAAACCCAAAAGAUCGAACGGGGAGAUUCAUCGUCAGCGACGCUGGCUUCGCGUCGGUGGGCGAUGUCCCGCGGGGCCUCGCGGCUCGCGCGCGGGCACGCUGCCGUGCGUCGAUGUCCGGCGUUCGUCGUCGUGCACUUCUCCCCUAGUAGAACGUCGCGACCCGCUGGGUGUCGGUCUACGGCCCGGGUGCGGUGACUGACGCGUCGCCGGUAAAACGGCACGCGUCAAACCCUCGGUAGCCCGGCCGGCUGCCCGGCGGUACACGCAAGGUAUCAGGCCGCAACUCACACAAGUGAUUGCGUCGAGGCCGUCGCAAGCGCGCGCCACGGUACACGGAGGUUUACGGACCUAGCGCCGUCACCGGUCCUGGCCCGCUGUUGGUCGUACGGUUAACCUUCGACAGGCCUGCUAACGUCCCCCGGGGCAUUCGUGUCCCGCGGGGACCGAUACCGGUCGGCGACGCUACUGCUUUGNGNACUCUUAGGACCCG